rnacentral:misc_RNA from 1 species
GAGUACGUCAGCCUGGCAUUUUGGGAAAGGAAGUGGCGCGAUCAGUCUAGGGUUUUCAACUCGUGCAGAAAAAUUGAAUAUGCAACUCACUCUUGAAUUCGGUGGGGGGCUAGAGCUCCUUUGUAAUUCGGUGAAGAUUCACAAUGUCAAUGUUGAAUUGAAAAAUGGGGCAGAGAAGGAGACCUGGCGUUCUGGUCCUUGUGAAUGAUUGUGAUUGGGAGCUUAGCGGGCAGCUUGAUACCACUUUGGAAGAGAAGGAUGUGGUAGUCUUUAUUUCAACCUUGCACGGUGGAUAGUGUCUAGCAGAUUGUUACUGCUUUUAGAUUAUUAGUAAUUGUAGUCUCGUUUGUGAACUUCACCACUAGAGAUGUUAUGUGAAAGUAUAUUUUAAGGCAUAAAGGAAGUAUAUGAGAUUUUUUGCUAUUCCUAUUUCUGUGGGGCAGUCAUGCAUUAUAUACCCUAUU